AAGUCGGAGGAAGUGGGAUGACGUCAAAUCAUCAUGCCCCUUAUGACCUGGGCUACACACGUGCUACAAUGGGCGGUACAAAGGGCUGCGAACCCGCGAGGGGGAGCGAAUCCCAAAAAGCCGACUCUCAGUUCGGAUUGCAGGCUGCAACUCGCCUGCCAUGAAGCCGGAAUCGCUAGUAAUCGCGGAUCAGCAUGCCGCGGUGAAUACGUUCCCGGGCCUU
rnacentral:rRNA from 1 species